UCUCAGCCAUGGUUGCAUACCUUCCAAGCUCCACCGCCUCUUCUUCCUCGUGGGCAGAUCCCUGAUUUUGUGUAGGACAGCACUUGAAAUGUAUUUGUGUGCUCAACAUUGGUUUCCUCUCUGGAACCUGGGAUCACUUCAGGGGUGGACACGUGGCCCAACCAUGACUGAUGAGACAUGCGGGGAAAUCUGCAGAGGCAACUUCUAGGAAAGGUUGGGCUCUUGCAGCCACCCUGUGACUAUGAGCCACCAGGUGCAAUCUCCAACAUGUGCGGGCUUUGGGAAAACACAAUCGGGCAAGUGAAGUUUGUUGCAGACAAGUUCUUCUUCCCCUCUGCCACAACCUCCUCCAAGGUUACAGGGAGAGCACCCUGUCUGUGAAGAAGCAGGUUCUCAUCUGAUACCAAAUCUGCUGGCACCUUGAUCUUGGACUUCCCAGACUCCAGGACUGUGAGUAACACAUUUGUGUUGUUUACAAGCUGCUCAGAAGGUGGUAAAUUGUGAUAGCAGGCCAAAUGGACCACGACAGGGUAUAAGUUGUUUUAUCCCCAUUUUAUAGAAGAGGUAAACAGGCUCAGGAUGAGCACAGGCCAAAACCGCCUAAUGAAUAUUAGCAACCAGAUAUUUCCUGGCACACAGUCCACACCAAGUAAAUGUUUGAGCGGCUGUUGAGCUGAAUCAUUGUUUAAUUUUUGUCUUUCCACCACAGGAAGAUCACAGAUUGACAUCAGCAGGAAAACUUGCCAGGCAGCAGGAGGAUCCAUUUGAAAACUCACGAGAAAAAGGCCCUUGAGGCCUUUUUCCUGGUUAUUGAAGACAUCUUAGGAAACACUUAUGGUGACAAUUAAUCAAGCAAAAAUAGAUCCAGUUUUUCUGAAGAUCAAGCUUAACAUGUGUGCCAUGCUUUAAAAUGUCUUUCCAGGCACUCUCUCCUGCCCACGGAUCUUGCUUGGGAAAGGAAUGGGGCAAGUGGAAAUGGCCAUUUCUUAGAUGAACACAUCAGGGACUUGCUCCAGUCUGAAGUCUAUACAGAGCUAGGCUUUGAAUCCAGUCACGUAACUGCAUAGCAGCAAAUCAGCCUUUCAGAAUAUUGCAGGAUCAGCAAUGAAAUUCCCUUUGCCAGAGAAAUGGACAAACAAGGAAGCAACAAUGGUGAUGGUGGAAGUGUUCUUCAAGUCUAAGUUUGGGUUCUAGAAACAUCUGGCCAAAUAACGUCUUUCACAACUAAAAUAGAAUAUAAAGAAGCCAUUUGACCUGCCUCAGUUAUCAUGGUCAUCAUGACAAGCUGCAGCAGGACAAAUCAGCUUAACAAUUUCGGAAACUGCCAGAAAUGCUAUUUGGAUUAAUUUUUAUUUGGGAGUUGGCUAAAACUGGUCACAUCCCCAAAUACCUCAAGAUAAACAACAUAGCAUUAUCAUACAAAUCUAUAUUCACCAAAUUAGGUUAAAAUAGGCUGUUUUGAGAAGGUUGAAUUUUUUUAUGGGGAUUAUUCCCAAAAUACGUUUAGACACAAGAAGUUCAACUUUUCUUUUUUCCAUAUUUGAUGUCAAUCAAACUAAUUACUACAUGUUUGGAAUUGCAUUAAUUGUAUUCUUCAGUUACCUAUAAAAUUUAAUUAUCAUGUCUUUAUGGAAAUUUUAAUAUCAGAUAUAAAGAAUGGCAUAUUUAAAAUGACAUUUUAAUACUUUAUAAGAAGCAACAGAAAUUCGACUUCCAAAGCACCUCUCAGUACUACCAUUGGAGUACAUCUAUAUUUUUCUGUCAGAAUACUAUCCAAAGCAAGCAUAAGUAAUCCUUAUUUUCACGAUACAUUGAUGCUCAAAAGUUGUGUGUUCAGCAUGUCUACAAAGUAAAUUACCGUAUAUUUGAAACAGCAGACUAAAACUGAAGUAACAUCUGGAAAAAAUUGCCCUAAUUGCUAGCCCCUAAAUUCAUCUGACCUUGACACUCUCAUCUGAAUUUAAAAGUGUUUUAAAUUCUUAGCCAAUCAAUUCAAGCCAGAACUGAAUUCAUAUGUCUUCAGAAACUGCUAAUCUAGAACAAUGUAACUAGAAUAGAUUCCUGAUCAAACUUUGGUUUUGUUCAGGUAUCCACUCAUUUCCUAGGUGACCCAGAGGCCACAACUCACAACUCCACCCCUUCCCGUGGCUGGUCCAGGCUGUGCAGAUCUUGUAGUCACAAAGUCCUGGCAAUGGGCUGGGGGUGGGAUCUGACCUAGUGCUGACCAACAUGUCAAAAACAGAUGGCUGCAGAACCCUCUGGAAAAGCUUCCCUCAUUCUUAAGGAAUCCUGUGAAGAGAUGGUCUGUUUCUGUCCUGUUCCCUGGAUGUCAAAUGUCUGGGUUUGAGACCCAGAACUCCUGAAGCCAUCUCACAACUACAAGGGGAGCAGAUGUAGCCACUGAGGAUGGCCAAGCAGAGGGAGGGAGGACCUUUCCUGCCAGCAUCGCCAGCGGCUGAAUCACAGCCCAGAACCCCACAGCACCCUAAACGUCCUCUUAACAAAUGUAAUACGUUGUCUUACUGUUUGUGCCUGUGUGAAAAGUCCUCUUUGCUUGCAGUGAAGGCAUCCUAGUUGAUAAACAUGAAAUUUGAAAAUUGGAGAUUUCUUGGAACCAACA
rnacentral:lncRNA from 1 species